rnacentral:rRNA from 1 species
CCUACGGGUGGCUGCAGUGGGGAAUAUUGGACAAUGGGCGAAAGCCUGAUCCAGCCAUGCCGCGUGUGUGAAGAAGGCCUUCGGGUUGUAAAGCACUUUCAGUGGGGAAGAAAGCCUUGGGGCUAAUACCCUCGAGGAAGGACAUCACCCACAGAAGAAGCACCGGCUAACUCCGUGCCAGCAGCCGCGGUAAUACGGAGGGUGCGAGCGUUAAUCGGAAUUACUGGGCGUAAAGCGCGCGUAGGCGGUCUGAUAAGCCGGUUGCGAAAGCCCCGGGCUCAACCUGGGAACGGCAUCCGGAACUGUCAGGCUAGAGUGCAGGAGAGGAAGGUAGAAUUCCCGGUGUAGCGGUGAAAUGCGUAGAGAUCGGGAGGAAUACCAGUGGCGAAGGCGGCCUUCUGGACUGACACUGACGCUGAGGUGCGAAAGCGUGGGUAGCAAACAGGAUUAGAUACCCCUGUAGUC